rnacentral:rRNA from 1 species
UGGGGGAAUAUUGCACAAUGGGCGCAAGCCUGAUGCAGCGACGCCGCGUGAGUGGAGAAGUAUUUCGGUAUGUAAAGCUCUAUCAGCAGGGAAGAAAAUGACGGUACCUGACUAAGAAGCCCCGGCUAACUACGUGCCAGCAGCCGCGGUAAUACGUAGGGGGCAAGCGUUAUCCGGAUUUACUGGGUGUAAAGGGAGCGUAGGUGGCAAGGCAAGUCAGAAGUGAAAGGUCGGGGCUCAACCCCGGAACUGCUUUUGAAACUGUCUGGCUAGAGUGCAGGAGAGGUAAGCGGAAUUCCUAGUGUAGCGGUGAAAUGCGUAGAUAUUAGGAGGAACACCAGUGGCGAAGGCGGCUUACUGGACUGUAACUGACACUGAGGCUCGAAAGCGUGGGGAGCAAACAGGAUUAGAUACCCUGGUAGU